UAAACUAGGAUUAGAUACCCUAUUAUUGAAAAUGUAAAUUUAUUAUACUAAAUUAGUAUUAGUUAUGUUCUUAAAAAUUAAAAAAUUUGGCGGUAUUUUAGUCUUUUCAGAGGAACCUGUUCUGUAAUUGAUAGUCCACGAUUAAAUUUACUUUAUUUUUUAGUUUACAUAUCGUCGUAGUUUAGAAUAUUUUAAUAGAAUAUUAAUAUUCAAGAUUUUUUAUUAAAAAAUAAAUCAGAUCAAGGUGUAGUUGAUAAUAAAGUAGAAAUGGGUUACAAUAAAUUUAUUUUAGGAUAAUUUUUAUUACAAAAAUUUGAAUAUGGAUUUGAAAGUAAUUUUUAUAUAUUUAUAAUUUGAUUAUAGCUCUAAAAUAUGCACACAUCGCCCGUCGCUCUUAA
rnacentral:rRNA from 1 species